GACGAACGCUGGCGGCGUGCUUAACACAUGCAAGUCGAGCUGAGCGGCGAACGGGUGAGUAACGCGUGAGUAACUGCCCCCCUCUCUGGGAUAACAGUUGGAAACGGCUGCUAAUACCGGAUAGUGGGGGAUGACUCGCGUCCAAUCCGCUUGUUGGUGGGGUAGUGGCCCACCAAGGGGAAGACGGGUAGCCGUCAGUCGAGGGCGACCGGCCACAUUGGGCGGAGAUACGGCCCAAACUCCUACGGGAGGCAGCAGUGGGGAAUAUGGCACAAUGGGGGAAACCCUGAUGCAGCAACGCCGCGUGCGGGAUGACGGCCUUCGGGUUGUAAACUGCUUUCAGCCAUGACGCGGUAGUGGCAGAAGAAGCACCGGCUAACUACGUGCCAGCAGCCGCGGUAAUUC
rnacentral:rRNA from 1 species